rnacentral:lncRNA from 12 species
GUCCAGCUCUCCCCACCCCAGCUCACGCUCCAAGGGAGUCAACCGUAGAAUACUGUACCUAUAGUUAUCAAAAUUGUAUUGUGCACUUGGACCUUUGUUAAGAUGAUAGAUACCAUGUUGUGUUCUUACUAUAAUAAUUUUUUUUAAAGGGAGUCAGUCAGUCAAGCUGCUUUGGUUGCCUUAUUUCUGAGCUUGUGGGAAGAGAAGAGCAGGAAAAGAAACUGAGGACCAGAGGGACAGUGACCUGCCUGAAGGGACGUGAUUUAGAAGCCGCCCUCUUUGUGACUUGCCCCAAGAAGGUUCAUCCUCCUCUGGACGUCCUGUGUUGGCGCCCCACUAACGAGGAUCAAGAGUAAUGCCUUCUGGGCUCCCUUCAAACGUUUGGACUUGUAAAAAGCCUCUGCGCUCACCUUUUCUUGUUUAUUGUACACUCGCUACUUCACCACUUGUUGGCUCUUUCUGAAGGGAGUGGUCACAAAUAAGUGAGCAUCUCAUUGGUUUUCACAGAGAAACAAAUUGCAAUUGUAGUGAUGAUGUGUUAAUUCUGUAUUAAGUGCCUUCUUGACCAGGCACCAGUAAAAGGACAUGCAGCUCUCCUGCAUCGCACUGGUGGUGGUGGUGGGGGGGGGGGGGGAAGGGGCUUGAAGGGGGAAGGGGGAAAAUUUGAAUGACUAAUCACAUUGAAGUGUGAAUACCUAGUGGCAGAGCAGCUCCUUGUCAGUGGAAAACAACAUAGCAGUGCUCCCUCCUGUAGGUCCUUGGGAGGCCAGUCGGCAUGAUGGAAAGACACAGGUUUCGUUAAUCCUGGUCCAAUUGCUUGGGAGAGUGACAUACCCACUCUGAACACCUCAUCUGCACAUGAGGGUAAUAGUAAGUACUCCUCGGGGCUAUUGCAAAGAUUAGAUAAAUUUAAGUAUCUGUAAAGAGAAUAAUAAUAAUAAAAAUACUUCCUGUUGGUUUUUCUUUGAAAGA